rnacentral:rRNA from 1 species
GACGAACGCUGGCGGCGUGCCUAACACAUGCAAGUCGAACGGAGAAUUAGCAAUAAUUCUUAGUGGCGAACGGGUGAGUAACGCGUAGACAACCUACCCUUUAGAUGGGGACAACACCGCAAAAGUGGUGCUAAUACCGAAUAUUGGUUGAGAAGCGCAUGCUUUUCAAACUAAAGAUGGCCUCUAUUUAUAAGCUAUCGCUAAAGAAUGGGUCUGCGUCUGAUUAGCUAGUUGGUGAGAUAAAAGCUCACCAAGGCAACGAUCAGUAGCCGGUCGGAGAGGAUGAACGGCCACACUGGGACUGAGACACGGCCCAGACUCCUACGGGAGGCAGCAGUGGGGAAUCUUCCGCAAUGGACGAAAGUCUGACGGAGCGACGCCGCGUGAGUGAUGAAGGUUUUCGGAUCGUAAAACUCUGUUGUUAAGGACGAAUGUAUAGAUUGUGAAUAAUGGUUUAUAAUGACGGUACUUAACGAGGAAGCCACGGCUAACUACGUGCCAGCAGCCGCCGUAA